rnacentral:rRNA from 1 species
UACGUAGGGGGCAAGCGUUGUCCGGAUUUAUUGGGCGUAAAGAGCGUGUAGGCGGCCAUACAGGUCAGUUGUGAAAACUGGAGGCUUAACCUCCAGACGUCGAUGGAAACCGUAUGGCUAGAGUCCGGAAGAGGAGAGUGGAAUUCCUGGUGUAGCGGUGAAAUGCGCAGAUAUCAGGAAGAACACCCGUGGCGAAGGCGGCUCUCUGGGACGGUACUGUCGCUGAGACGCGAAAGCGUGGGGAGCGAACAGG